CCCAUAUCCGUCCUCUGCUCGCGCGUGUUGACAUCAUCUAGGCCACAACAGGUGAGCAGUAGGUGGGGAGCCUCAGCAAGUGAGCAGGGAGGGGCCUCGCACUCGCCUGCGAACAACAGUACGACCUCAUGCUGGCCUCCCUACUCGGUCUUCGUACAGGGAAGACGACGGUUACAUGGACUGAUGCUCCUUUGUUCGAUUCAUCGUCGGCAACCUGGCGUUGAAGGUUCUUGUGCCGUCAACACCCCCUGCCUCUCCCUGCUUUGAACAGGCAAGUUCCCUCACUAGAUUGUCAACAUCCCUAUCCUCGCUUCUGGCGAAACCUCCAUCGCAGACAUCUCGAUUCCCGUCGCCGCCUCGUUUCACCUCUCCAAGGAUGAUCUUGAUCGAAUCACUAGAAAGUAUUCGCUUUUCGCCUAUUCCACCAGCCGCGCGAAGCUGAAGGUUUCCAUCUACACCGGUGUAUUAGGGAGUUCCUUCUAGUGGAGCCCUAGGAAUCUCAUCGGCAAGUUCAAGAUACGGCUGGAUUUGAAGGGUUUUGUAAAGGACGGUGGGGCGAUGGAGUUCCACAGCAAGUGGGUUGCCAUCGGCAAGAAGAGGGGCAUGGAUCAACAACAUCUAAUGAUGAAGGCCGAGCCUGAUGCUCGAUUUGUGUUCGAGUUCGACGGUGUAACCUGCAGGUUUUGAUGGCAACAUGAAGCAACAUGUAUUCACCUACAAAUUUAGUUGUCACAAUGCCGCUGUCUUUUUUAUCCUCUUUCUUCUCCUAUAUUCUGUCUUCCUUUCUGUAGGGACUUGUUAUUCAUCCUUGAUUUUGUUUUCCUUUCUCUUCCUUGACUUUGAAGGAUAGAGAUUAUUUUCCUUUCUCUCUCCACGCCUGAGAGUAAACAUAGCAAUAAGGUGAAUCAUAUGUUCAUUGCUGACCAUCAAAAAGUAAUGUACAAAUUUUUGAUGGGUUUAAAAUCUAUCUACUUAAGUUGUUAUGAUCU